GACUUAAUAAACUUGGACUCUAAUUAUUGUUAAAUUGGAAAUUUUUUUUUGAUUACUUAUUUUUUAGGGUAAAAUCAGAGAUUUUUUCUUUAUUUUUUUCUAAUUUUUAAGAUUUGGUGAACAAACCAGAUUAGUACCUGGUUAGACAAAAAUUAAAAGAGCAGAAGUAAAGUUAUAUUUAAACUGUAAGAAUAUUGGCAGGUUUUUAAAUUAUCUUUGGAGGUUGAGUAGUAAUUGAGAACCCUCAUUAACAACUUUUUUUAUAGGCGCAUGUAUGAUCGUUUAUUCUAUUCUUAAGGAUUAUAAUUUUAGAUUUUUUUUCUAUAAAAAUAGAUAGAUAUCUGGUUUAUAAAAAAGAUUUAAUUUGACCUACAAUAUAGUAUUAUGUGGAAAUAGGAUGUUGUGUUCUAUUGAAAAUGUAAAAGACAGUAAAAUUCUUUUUAUGGGAAUUUGGAGUUUAUUUAAAAAC
rnacentral:rRNA from 1 species